rnacentral:lncRNA from 1 species
GCUUCCUCUUUGAGCCUCAUCUCCUCAUGAAACAUGAACUGAUUUGGUUGGAUUGGUGAAGUCUGGUAGCAUGAAAUGUAUCUUAUGACACUAUCACAUUAAUGGAAGGACAGCAAGCACUCCAGUUGCAGGGCUUCCUUCCUUGCCGCAUCCUGUAGCAACUGUGUGUCGACCUCAUCUGCUGGCAGCUGCACGUAUCGGACCACUGAGCCCCGAAUGAAGCAGUUCUUCACUGAUAACUAGACAAAGAUGGACAAAUAUGAAAACACCCUUAAAAAUGUCCUCUAACCACCCAGGGGCCUCCUGCUUUAGAGGCCUCCUCAAUGAACCUGAGAAACAGUACAGUACUAAAGAUGAAGAUAAAAACUCCGGACCUAACUCCAGCCUA